rnacentral:tRNA from 1 species
GGCUCUGUGGCGCAAUGGAUAGCGCAUUGGACUUCUAAUUCAAAGGUUGUGGUUUCGAAUCCCACCAGAGUCA